UACGUAGGGUGCAAGCGUUGUCCGGAAUUAUUGGGCGUAAAGAGCUCGUAGGCGGUCUGUCGCGUCUGCUGUGAAAACUCAGGGCUUAACCCUGAGCUUGCAGUGGGUACGGGCAGACUAGAGUGUGGUAGGGGAGACUGGAAUUCCUGGUGUAGCGGUGAAAUGCGCAGAUAUCAGGGGGAACACCGAUGGCGAAGGCAGGUCUCUGGGCCAUAACUGACGCUGAGAAGCGAAAGCAUGGGGAGCGAACAGG
rnacentral:rRNA from 1 species